rnacentral:rRNA from 1 species
CCCCUAGAUGUUCUGGGCCGCACGCGCGCUACACUGAACAGUUCAACAAGUCUUAACCUUGGCCGAUAGGUCUGGGUAAUCUUUGAACGCUGUUCGUGACUGGGAUAGACCUUUGCAAUUAUGGGUCUUCAACGAGGAAUUCCUAGUAAACGCAAGUCAUCAGCUUGCAUUGAUUACGUCCCUGCCCUUUGUACACACCGCCCGUCGCACCUACCGAUUGAAUGGUCCGGUGAAAUCUCGGGACGGCGGCUUGGUCGCUUGCGUCCGACUGCUGAAACUUGAUUAAACCAUAUCAUUCAGAGGAAGGUGAAGUCGUAACA